UACGUAUGGUGCAAGCGUUAUCCGGAUUUACUGGGUGUAAAGGGAGCGUAGACGGCGAUGCAAGUCUGAAGUGAAAGGCGGGGGCCCAACCCCCGGACUGCUUUGGAAACUGUAUGGCUGGAGUGCAGGAGAGGUAAGUGGAAUUCCUAGUGUAGCGGUGAAAUGCGUAAAUAUUAGGAGGAACACCAGUGGCGAAGGCGGCUUACUGGACUGUAACUGACGUUGAGGCUCGAAAGCGUGGGGAGCAAACAGG
rnacentral:rRNA from 1 species